rnacentral:rRNA from 1 species
AUUGAACGCUGGCGGCAGGCCUAACACAUGCAAGUCGAGCGAGCGGCGGACGGUUGAGUACUGUAUGGGGACUGCCCGUUAGAGGGGGAUAACUACUGGAAACGGUAUCUAAUACCGCACACUCUCCGAUUCCCCUUAGGGUGUUAGCUAGUAGGUGAGGUAAUGGCUCACCUAGGGGACGAUCCCUAGCUGGUCUGAGAGGAUGAUCAGCCACACGGGGACUGAGACACGGCCCAGACUCCUACGGAGGCAGCAGUGGGGAAUAGUGCACAAGGGGCGCAAGCCUGAUGCAGCCAUGCCGCGUGUAGGAAGAAGGCCCUAGGGUUGUAAAGCACUUUCAGUCGGGAGGCGUUACCGACAGAAGAAGCACCGGCUAACUCCGUGCCAGCAGCCGCGGUAAUUC